rnacentral:rRNA from 1 species
UACGUAGGGGGCAAGCGUUGUCCGGAAUCAUUGGGCGUAAAGAGCGUGUAGGCGGCUCGAUAAGUCUGCUGUGAAAGUCCAGGGCUCAACCCUGGAAGGCCGGUGGAAACUGUCGGGCUAGAGUCCGGAAGAGGCGAGUGGAAUUCCCGGUGUAGCGGUGAAAUGCGCAGAUAUCAGGAGGAACACCGGUGGCGAAGGCGGGUCUCUGGGCCGUAACUGACGCUGAGGAGCGAAAGCAUGGGGAGCGAACAGG